AAACAACACUCUGGCAGAUGAUCAAAACUGUCUCGCACAAUUUGCAAGAUCUCAAGACAGCCUAACCUAUUCUGGCGUUCUCUACUUCAUGAGACAAGUCAUUAUGUAGACUGAAACAGA